GAGGUUCACGGCCACAUGGUUCCCUGUGCAGCGCCCCGUGGGUCCCAGCAGACACAGCACCAUAAUGGGAGACUUCUAGGCCGAGAGGGCAAAAGCUUCAAACAGCAGGCGGCAGCACCAGCUGUGUGGUGGCUGGGAGCUGGUCUAGCCUCCGCCUUCCUUCCAGAAGUCUCCCCAGCAUCCUCAACCAGGUCAGAUCCCCCAGCAUGACUCAACAUCCCUUCGACUUCCCUUCUGCAGCCCUGGCAGGAGCUGUGUUGCAGCGGUGCCUGUUGCAUGUGGAAGUCUCCCUUCAAGGUUUGCAUCAUGGAACUCACCUGGCCCAACCUCUCAGGGAGGAAAAUUCCAACCAGAGAGGUGCCCCAGGAGAAACUGAAGCUCUUCACCACGGUGGCUGUGGCUUUGUCAUGCUCAGCAGUUUCAGCUCCCACACUGCUUAGCCUCACUCGGACUCCGGGAUGCUGUGCAGGAAAUUUCCCAGUGGCUCCAGCCUCGGGAUCCUGCAACCUGAACACCUACUGGCUUCUUGGGGUCAUCCACCUUCUGCACCGAGAGGUUCUCAAGAGGUAUAAUUCCCCGUGGCUCCUUGUCCUACAGGGAAAGGGGAAGGAAGGUCAGGGUCAGGAAGCGGAACCCUGAGGCCCAAGGCAGGGUGUGAACGUGUGGGGUUCCCCAAACUCAAAGAGGAGCGUGCUCAUCUUCCGAGACUGUCCAGUCAUAGGGGGACGGAAGUUAGAAGCAGCAUGUGAAGACCUCUGGCCGGAACUUAGGAGGCCCAGCUUUAAGCCUGGGCUCUGCCUAGGACCUUGGCCCGGCCCUCCUCUGUGUACCCGUUUUCCCCAUCUGUAAAAUGGGCAUGGAGGGGGACUGAAUGAUCUCAAAGGAUCCAAAGCUGUGUGAGUCGACUGCUCAGUGGGAGUUGGGAAGUGGGUUGUGCGGGGAGAGGCGGGGGCAGGGGAAGGCCCAGGAGAACCCUGCUCACAGUGGUGAACUCGAAGUAGUAGAGGCAGUUGUCGGUCAGGAUGAACCAGCGCCGUUUCCACGUCUUCACGCGGCCCCCUGCGCAAGGCCAAUGUAGCAAGCUGGUCAGUCCUCCUCCUGGGCCACUGACACCUCCUCCAGGGAAGGGCAGGUCCUCGGAUGCUUUCCCCUGGACCCCCAGCUGAGUGCCCUAAACUUCGUCCACCACACCUCCCCCCAACAUCUAUCCCUUUCUCAAACAAGAACCUUAGUGGCUCCUGUAAUCCCCAGGCUUCCCUGGAGCUGCUUGAGCUGGCGUUUGGGUGGCCUCCGUGAUCAGGUCCUAGGAAUGGUCCUAGGAAUGGCCAGUUCCUGCUCUUCCUGGCUACCGCCAUCCAUUGCUUCAUUCCUUAGCUUGGUCCCUGCCUGGCACAAUGCUAAGCAUUUCGUCCUUCAUUUGCCAGAC